ACAGUGGACGCGAGCAUCUGUGGCCAAGUUUUUAAGGGCGCACGGUGGAUGCCUUGGCACCAGGAACCGAUGAAGGACGUGGGAGGCCACGAUAGUCCCCGGGGAGUCGUCAACCAGGCUUUGAUCCGGGGGUUUCCGAAUGGGGAAACCCGGCAGUCGUCAUGGGCUGUCACCCGCUGCUGAACACAUAGGCAGUGUGGAGGGAACGCGGGGAAGUGAAACAUCUCAGUACCCGCAGGAAGAGAAAACAACCGUGAUUCCGGGAGUAGUGGCGAGCGAAGGACGAGUCAGAAACCGUUGAUGUAGGCGAAGGACAUGCGAAAGGUCCGGCGUAGAGGGUAAGACCCCCGUAGUCGAAACGUCAGCGGCUCGUUUGAGAGACACCCAAGUAGCACGGGGCCCGAGAAAUCCCGUGUGAAUCUGGCGGGACCACCCGCUAAGCCUAAAUAUUCCCUGGUGACCGAUAGCGGAUAGUACCGUGAGGGAAUGGUGAUGAGCCUGCGAGUUUGCGGUGUGUUGCGAGGUUAACCCGGGUGGGGAAGCCGUAGCGAAAGCGAGUCCGAACAGGGCGAUUUUAGUAGCACGCUCAAGACCCGAAGCGGAGUGAUCUAGCCAUGGGCAGGUUGAAGCGGAGGUAAGACUUCGUGGAGGACCGAACCCACCAGGGUUGAAAACCUGGGGGAUGACCUGUGGUUAGGGGUGAAAGGCCAAUCAAACUCCGUGAUAGCUGGUUCUCCCCGAAAUGCAUUUAGGUGCAGCGUCGUGUGUUUCUUGCCGGAGGUAGAGCACUGGAUAGGCGAUGGGCCCUACCGGGUUACUGACCUUAGCCAAACUCCGAAUGCCGGUAAGUGAGAGCGCGGCAGUGAGACUGUGGGGGAUAAGCUCCAUGGUCGAGAGGGAAACAGCCCAGAGCAUCGACUAAGGCCCCUAAGCGUACGCUAAGUGGGAAAGGAUGUGGAGUCGCACAGACAACCAGGAGGUUGGCUUAGAAGCAGCCACCCUUGAAAGAGUGCGUAAUAGCUCACUGGUCUAGUGAUUCCGCGCCGACAAUGUAGCGGGGCUCAAGCGUACCGCCGAAGUCGUGUCAUUGCAGCAUAUACGGCCAACGCCGGCUGUGAUGGGUAGGGGAGCGUCGUGUGCCGGGUGAAGCAGCGCCGGAAGGCAGUUGUGGACGGUUCACGAGUGAGAAUGCAGGCAUGAGUAGCGAUACAAACGUGAGAAACGUUUGCGCCGAUUGACUAAGGGUUCCUGGGUCAAGCUGAUCUGCCCAGGGUAAGUCGGGACCUAAGGCGAGGCCGACAGGCGUAGUCGAUGGAUAACCGGUUGAUAUUCCGGUACCCGCUGUGAAGCGUCAAACAUCGAGCAUCGUGAUGCUAAGGCCGUGAAGCCGCCCUGAUCUCUUCGGAGUUGAGGGGAGUGGUGGAGCCGCCGGACCAAGCGGUUAGUAGGUGAGUGAUGGGGUGACGCAGGAAGGUAGUCCAUCCCGGGCGGUGGUUGUCCCGGGGUAAGGGUGUAGGCCGCGAGGUAGGUAAAUCCGCCUCGCAUACGGCUGAGACCUGAUGCCGAGCCGAUUGUGGUGAAGUGGAUGAUCCUAUGCUGUCGAGAAAAGCCUCUAGCGAGUUUCAUGGCGGCCCGUACCCUAAACCGACUCAGGUGGUCAGGUAGAGAAUACCGAGGCGUUCGGGUGAACUAUGGUUAAGGAACUCGGCAAAAUGCCCCCGUAACUUCGGGAGAAGGGGGGCCACACCUGGUGACGAGUCUUGCACUCUGAGCUGGGGGUGGCCGCAGAGACCAGCGAGAAGCGACUGUUUACUAAAAACACAGGUCCGUGCGAAGCCGUAAGGCGAUGUAUACGGACUGACGCCUGCCCGGUGCUGGAACGUUAAGGGGACCGGUUAGCUCCAUUUCGGUGGGGCGAAGCUGAGAACUUAAGCGCCAGUAAACGGCGGUGGUAACUAUAACCAUCCUAAGGUAGCGAAAUUCCUUGUCGGGUAAGUUCCGACCUGCACGAAUGGCGUAACGACUUCUCGACUGUCUCAACCAUAGGCCCGGUGAAAUUGCACUACGAGUAAAGAUGCUCGUUUCGCGCAGCAGGACGGAAAGACCCCGGGACCUUUACUACAGUUUGAUAUUGGUGUUCGGUUCGGCUUGUGUAGGAUAGCUGGGAGACUUUGAAGCUCGCACGCCAGUGUGGGUGGAGUCGUCGUUGAAAUACCAGUCUGGUCGUGCUGGAUGUCUAACCUGGGUCCGUGAUCCGGAUCAGGGACAGUGUCUGAUGGGUAGUUUAACUGGGGCGGUUGCCUCCUAAAGAGUAACGGAGGCGCCCAAAGGUUCCCUCAGCCUGGUUGGCAAUCAGGUGUUGAGUGUAAGUGCACAAGGGAGCUUGACUGUGAGACCGACGGGUCGAGCAGGGACGAAAGUCGGGACUAGUGAUCCGGCGGUGGCUUGUGGAAGCGCCGUCGCUCAACGGAUAAAAGGUACCCCGGGGAUAACAGGCUGAUCUUCCCCAAGAGUCCAUAUCGACGGGAUGGUUUGGCACCUCGAUGUCGGCUCGUCGCAUCCUGGGGCUGGAGUCGGUCCCAAGGGUUGGGCUGUUCGCCCAUUAAAGCGGUACGCGAGCUGGGUUUAGAACGUCGUGAGACAGUUCGGUCCCUAUCCGCUGUGCGCGUAGGAGUCUUGAGAAGGGCUGUCCCUAGUACGAGAGGACCGGGACGGACGAACCUCUGGUGUGCCAGUUGUCCUGCCAAGGGCAUGGCUGGUUGGCUACGUUCGGGAGGGAUAACCGCUGAAAGCAUCUAAGCGGGAAGCCUGCUUCGAGAUGAGGACUCCCACCCCCUUGAGGGGUUAAGGCUCCCAGUAGACGACUGGGUUGAUAGGCCGGAUCUGGAAGCACCGUGAGGUGUGGAGGUGACCGGUACUAAUAGGCCGAGGGCUUGUCCUCAGUUG
rnacentral:rRNA from 1 species